ensembl:lncRNA
AGACAUACUGACUGACUGAGUGAUUAACAGUGAGUAGAGGUCAGGGUGGAGGGGGGAGGGGGGGCGAGUGUCUUUAUCAUAUUGGUCUGUUGACAGAAAGCAUAGCUGCGUCAUGUGACUCCACUAAUCACGUCAUAGGAGCGAGCAGCUGUGAGCCACAGACAGAUCCUGCAGCAUGUGAGUGCUCGUAACCACGACAACGACGCACCUGUGCGGCUGCAAAAGUGCAGACACAGGACAGCGAGUUACACAGAAUCCACACCUCAAACAAAUGAGAACCAGCGCAAAACUAUAACAGCUAUCUAAAAAAUACGGCGUUUGUAUGAGACCCAAGACUCUACCGAACGCGUGGAUGUGUUUUUAUGUCUGUCCGGUAAUAAAUACGGCUCCUAUGGCCGUUGACAAAACGUGUACCUUGUGGAUUUUUGUGAGAAAUAUGUCGGCAGAUUUGUAUUGGAGCCUAUGGGGCUUUUGGCAGAGGUUGUGUCACUCAAACACUCCUUGCGCCAAAACUAAAAAACUCUGGGAUUCCAUGAACACAUUAAUCCAAUCAGCACAACCAUACCCUCAUUAAUCUGAAGAAAUGAAGCCUCUAGAGUGUAUACUUUGGCUGCAAGGACAGAAGUUCCAUACUUUUUAAACCAGAUUUCUGCGAUGCCCCACACUCUAGCCUGCGAGGCCCCGCCUCUAGCAGACGCAAUACACACUCAUGUAAAAGUCAGAAACGGAGCGAAAAACUAGUGAAACUUAAUCAGUGAUUAUGAAAAAAGUACAAUAGAUAUCAAGAAGCAGUUUUUUUCAUAAAAUAGUUGAGACUUGUGUGAACAUUUGAGAGUUGAAAUGGUGUCUGUAGCUGAAAGAUUUGCAAAGCUGAAAAAUCUGAAAGUUGAAGAAGUUUAGGAGGAUUUGAAAGCAAACUCCAUUUGAAAACCAUGUUAAAAUAUUAAUGAUUAUUGAUUUAUAUAAAUUCAAGCAUAAGAGGUAGAAAGCUGAAAAGUCAUAGCCCUCAAGCCAGAAAGGAGCUGAACAUUUUAAUAUUUGAAGGAUUUUAAUAGCUGAAAAUGUGAAGGAGUUGAAAGGGGGCGCGGAAGAAAUAGAAAAAUAAGUCGGAAUAAAGAUUCGAAGAACAAUACUUGGAAUGCAUCUCAAUGCAUUCCAACAAUAACACCAAAAUACAACUAUCCCUUUCACAUCACAAUACUAACGCGGGUGAACAUGCAAAACUACAAGACACACUGGCACAGGACAAAGGGAGACGCAGACAAUAAGUAUCCAUGGGGGAGGUGAGGGAACAGGUGGAGACAAUUAGGAAUCAGGGGAGACCAUCGACAGGAGACACCUGAGGAAGGGCAAGACACCUGAAACGAGAGGGGGUUUAGACGCCACAAUAAAACAGGAAGUCUCAAAAUCAGACGUAAGACGGGACACAAACACAAACUUCACCAACAUGUAUGACAU